rnacentral:rRNA from 1 species
UACGUAGGGGCUAGCGUUAUCCGGAAUUACUGGGCGUAAAGGGUGCGUAGGCGGGCUUUCAAGCCAGAAGUGAAAGGCUACGGCUCAACCGUAGUAAGCUUUUGGAACUGUAAGACUUGAGUGCAGGAGAGGAGAGUGGAAUUCCUAGUGUAGCGGUGAAAUGCGUAGAAAUUAGGAGGAACACCAGUAGCGAAGGCGGCUCUCUGGACUGUAACUGACGCUGAGGCACGAAAGCGUGGGGAGCAAACAGGAUUAGAUACCCUGGUAGUCCCUGAG